GAUGAACGCUGGCGGCGUGCCUAAUACAUGCAAGUCGAGCGAACAGAUGAGGAGCUUGCUCCUCUGGCAUUAGCGGCGGACGGGUGAGUAACACGUGGAUAACCUACCUAUAAGACUGGGAUAACUUCGGGAAACCGGAGCUAAUACCGGAUAAUAUAUUGAACCGCAUGGUUCAAUAGUGAAAGACGGUUUUGCUGUCACUUAUAGAUGGAUCCGCGCCGCAUUAGCUAGUUGGUAAGGUAACGGCUUACCAAGGCAACGAUGCGUAGCCGACCUGAGAGGGUGAUCGGCCACACUGGAACUGAGACACGGUCCAGACUCCUACGGGAGGCAGCAGUAGGGAAUCUUCCGCAAUGGGCGAAAGCCUGACGGAGCAACGCCGCGUGAGUGAUGAAGGUCUUCGGAUCGUAAAACUCUGUUAUUAGGGAAGAACAAAUGUGUAAGUAACUAUGCACGUCUUGACGGUACCUAAUCAGAAAGCCACGGCUAACUACGCG
rnacentral:rRNA from 1 species